GAUGAACGCUGGCGGCGUGCUUAACACAUGCAAGUCGAACGAGAAGUGAAGACGGAAACCUUCGGGCGGAAGCCUUCAUUUCGAGUGGCGGACGGGUGAGUAACGCGUGGGUAACCUGCCUCAUACAGGGGGAUAACAGUUGGAAACGACUGUUAAUACCGCAUAAGACCACAGCACCGCAUGGUGCGGGGGUAAAAACUCCGGUGGUAUGAGAUGGACCCGCGUUCGAUUAGCCAGUUGGCGGGGUAACGGCCCACCAAAGCGACGAUCGAUAGCCGAUCUGAGAGGAUGACCGGCCACAUUGGGACUGAGACACGGCCCAAACUCCUACGGGAGGCAGCAGUGGGGAAUAUUGCACAAUGGGGGAAACCCUGAUGCAGCGACGCCGCGUGAGUGAAGAAGUAUUUCGGUAUGUAAAGCUCUAUCAGCAGGGAAGAAAAUGACGGUACCU
rnacentral:rRNA from 1 species